rnacentral:rRNA from 1 species
UAGUCCACGCUGUAAACGAUGUCUACUAGCCGUUGGUUUCCUUGAGGAAGCAGUGGCGCAGCUAACGCGAUAAGUAGACCGCCUGGGGAGUACGGCCGCAAGGUUAAAACUCAAAUGAAUUGACGGGGGCCCGCACAAGCGGUGGAGCAUGUGGUUUAAUUCGAUGCAACGCGAAGAACCUUACCAGGUCUUGACAUCCUGAAAACUUUCUAGAGAUAGAUUGGUGCCUUCGGGAAUUCAGUGACAGGUGCUGCAUGGCUGUCGUCAGCUCGUGUCGUGAGAUGUUGGGUUAAGUCCCGUAACGAGCGCAACCCUUGUCUUUAGUUGCCAUCAUUUAGUUGGGCACUCUAGAGAAACUGCCGGUGACAAACCGGAGGAAGGUGAGGAUGACGUCAAGUCAGCAUGCCCCUUAGCUCUGGGCUACACACGUGCUACAAUGGUCGUGACAAAGAGUUGCUAGUCUGCGAAGGCAAGCCAAUCUCAUAAACGCGGCCUU